CUACUAUCUGUUGCUCUCCCUCUCCAGCUAACUUUCUUCCUGUCCAUCUCUCUCUAUCUCUUUGGAUCUCAAUGGGAUGGUGCUGGCUAUAGCUGUCGCUCUCUCCCUCUCUGAUUCUCUUCAUCCCUUUUUUUCAUUGUCUUCCAUCAUCCCUCCAUCCUAAGGCUCUGGCUCCUCCGGCCGGUGCCCUGUCAUUUUUCCCGUGGGCGGCAGCGAGAUAUGAAGCGUCGCCAUGGGUUUCAUGGAAUUCUACUUGGAGAUUGACCCCGUGACCCUGAACCUCAUCAUCCUGGUGGCCAGCUACGCCAUCCUCCUCCUUGUCUUCCUCAUCUCCUGCAUCCUGUACGACUGCCAGGGGAAGGACCCCACCAAGGAGUACGCCCCCGCGCCCCCCGCACCCCCCAGCCAGUCGCCCAUACGCCUUGUGGUCAUGCAGAACUCUCCUGCCUCGUCUCGCUAUGAGCAGCAGAAUCAGAACAACAUGGCUGGUCCAGAACCCAGCAGAAAGCCAGAACCCAGCAGGAACCUGGAACCCAGCAGGAACCUGGAACCCAGCAGAAAGCCAGAACCCAGCAGGAACCUGGAACCCAGCAGGAAGCCAGAACCCAGCAGGAACUUGGAACCUAGAAGGAACCCAGAACCCAGCAGGAAGCCAGAACCCAGCAGGAACCCAGAACCCAGCAGGAAGCCAGAACCCAGCAGGAAGCCAGAACCCAGCAGGAACCCAGAACCCAGCAGGAAGCCAGAACUCAGCAGGAACCACUACGAGUACAACAGGAACCACUACGAGCCGCCGGCGCUGACGCCCACCCCUGACCUGGGGAGGGAGAAGAGGAGCACCCUGGUCUGAGAAGGAGAGAGGGAGGAGGUGGGGGAGUCCAUGACUUAAGAGAAGAGAGAUACUAAGUUCUGGAUUUGACACUGUGGAGGAGAGAGGGAGAAGGUGAGGGAGUCCAUGACUUAAGAGAAGAGAGAUACUAAGUUCUGGAUUUGACACUGUGGAGAGAGGGAGGAGAGGGGAGAUUCGGUUGUAUAGACAAGGCCUGGACUGGACUAGACUGGACUGGAUGUAAAUUGCUGCUGUUUCAUUUAGUAUUUUCUUUUUGCUCUGUCGAUUUUUUUUAUUUUGAUCGUUGAUGUAUGAUGUUGCUGAGAAGGUGGGACCUGGCAGGUAGAGAGGCUGCAGUAAGGGAAUCCCCCCACCCACAUGCUCGGAGAAAGAUAAACAGGCACACACUCGCACGGCAGCAGAUCAGUAUGGAGUCACCAGCACUCAGAAACCAGAGGACCUCUGACAUUAUGGAAUCACCCUCCUCUCUCUCCUGUUCACCCCAUCGCUACAUCGUUGGGCAUGACGAUGCCAAAGGACCAGUAGACGACACCCUGCCACACCUCACUAAGAAUGAACCGCAUUGGGAUCAGGUUCUACAUGUAUAAUGAUGGAACUAUGAACUAAUGGAGAACUGCAAUACCCAAUAGCAUCCAUGUAGUCCACACUACUUCAUAGAAACUGGAGGAGACAUCCAAGCCACAAUGGAACAACAACUUUCAUUAAGACCAGCUACUUCAUAGAAACUGGAGGAGACAUCCGAGCCACAAUGGUACAACAACUUUCAUUAAGACCAGCUACGUCAAUGAAGAGACUGACGGUUGAUUGGAGCAGGAUGUCCUGUGACUGUUCUCCACUCAGCCACAUCAAGCCUCAGUCACGGCAAGUCAUCUGCUCUGCCACGACUUUGAAACAACCAACGGUCAGAGAGUCGUGAUACCGAGGGACUUGACAAGCUAAAGCCUCUUAUGUAAAAAAACAAACAAGGGCCUUGUCAGCUCAGUGCCCAUCGAGACCAACCAAUGACUUGACCAAUCACAGAGCCCCAUUUGCAAUAUGAAUAGCAGCAAAUGAUAUUUCCCCCAUGUUUCAUGUUUGAGGGAUUAGAGUCCAACUCAAGUAUUAUGGGAGAGCGAGGGUUACGUAUUCUUUCUGAUGUUUGCUCUGCUUUGCUUUGGUCCUCUCUGCAGGGUAACACACGUUUCUUCUUGUUAACAGACCAAAAACAUUUUGGUCAUAUUCUGGAUUUGACGUAGGUGGUAGUGGGACUAAUAAGGAUUGGACAUCAGUUAAGGGACUUAGUCUAGGGAGGGAGAUAUUUGUGGCACGCAAGACGGAGGAUUUAAAAUCAAACUUGACUUGAGCCAACGUUCAAAUGAACUUGUAAGCCUGGGGCAUAUUCAUGAGUUAUGAAAUGGAAGCAAACAGGUUGAAACAGGGUGGAAUUUUCCCAAUAAGAACCAAUUGUUGUCUUUUUCUGUUGCAAAACAUUUUGCUACGGUGUGUACACUAAUGAAUAACACCCAGGUUUUGGGGAGAAGUUAGACAUGUUGCUCUCAAAACACAGUAUAUCCUUUAUCAAAUGUUAUAUUUAUGGUACAUUAUUAACAUACCGCUAGAAUAUAUAGCACAUUAAAUAAAAGUAUCACAAAGUAUCACUGUUGCCCAAGCCCCUGUAAAUAACAUUGUAUAAAAAAAGAUGAAUAAAAAACCCUGAAAACUAAA
rnacentral:lncRNA from 1 species